rnacentral:rRNA from 1 species
AUUGAACGCUGGCGGCAUGCCUUACACAUGCAAGUCGAACGGCAGCACGGGUGCUUGCACCUGGUGGCGAGUGGCGAACGGGUGAGUAAUACAUCGGAACAUGUCCUGUAGUGGGGGAUAGCCCGGCGAAAGCCGGAUUAAUACCGCAUACGAUCUACGGAUGAAAGCGGGGGACCUUCGGGCCUCGCGCUAUAGGGUUGGCCGAUGGCUGAUUAGCUAGUUGGUGGGGUAAAGGCCUACCAAGGCGACGAUCAGUAGAUGGUCUGAGAGGACGACCAGCCACACUGGGACUGAGACACGGCCCAGACUCCUACGGGAGGCAGCAGUGGGGAAUUUUGGACAAUGGGCGAAAGCCUGAUCCAGCAAUGCCGCGUGUGUGAAGAAGGCCUUCGGGUUGUAAAGCACUUUUGUCCGGAAAGAAAUCCUUGGCUCUAAUACAGUCGGGGGAUGACGGUACCGGAAGAAUAAGCACCGGCUAACUACGUGC